ACCAGUUUAUGCCCCCUUUUGUAUCCUUCUCAAAAAAAUUGCAUCUUAUACAAUUUUUAUCAUUAGGAUCUAGGUUGUAGCCAUAUUCCCAACCGGGAUCGCCACUCCUAUGAGAUCCCGAAGAAGACAUCUCAAAAUAAUGCAAUUUAUACAAGCAAUAAAAAAAAAAUCACUUUGAGUUUGAUUGCUCAAUCUUCAAACUUCCACCUCAAAGAUGCUUCUAAGGACUCAAAAUCUUCUAAAAAACC
rnacentral:lncRNA from 1 species